UACGGGGGGUGCAAGCGUUAUCCGGAUUUACUGGGUUUAAAGGGUGUGUAGGCGGGCUUUUAAGUCAGUGGUGAAAUCUCCGGGCUCAACCCGGAAACUGCCAUUGAUACUAUUAGUCUUGAAUUUUGUUGAGGUAGGCGGAAUAAGUCAUGUAGCGGUGAAAUGCUUAGAUAUGACUUAGAACACCAAUUGCGAAGGCAGCUUGCUAAACAAACAUUGACGCUGAGGCACGAAAGCGUGGGGAUCAAACAGG
rnacentral:rRNA from 1 species